rnacentral:rRNA from 1 species
UACGUAGGGUGCAAGCGUUGUCCGGAAUUAUUGGACGUAAAGAGCUCGUAGGCGGUUCGUCGCGUCGGCUGUGAAAACCCGGAGCUCAACUCCGGGCCUGCAGUCGAUACGGGCGGACUUGAGUGUUGCAGGGGAGACUGGAAUUCCUGGUGUAGCGGUGAAAUGCGCAGAUAUCAGGAGGAACACCGGUGGCGAAGGCGGGUCUCUGGGCAACUACUGACGCUGAGGAGCGAAAGCGUGGGGAGCGAACAGG